rnacentral:rRNA from 1 species
GACGAACCGUCCUAACGUUGUUCGGAAUCACUGGGCUUAAAGGGCGCGUAGGCGGGUUCCCAAGUCGGUGGUGAAAAUCUUUCGGCCCAACCGGAAAACAGCCGCCGAUACUGGGAGUCUUGAGGGAGGUAGGGUCGAUGGAACUUCCGGUGGAGCGGUGAAAUGCGUAGAUAUCGGAAGGAACGCCGGUGGCGAAGGCGGGUCUCUGGACAGUCCUGACGCUGAGGCACGAAGGCCAGGGGAGC